rnacentral:rRNA from 1 species
GACGAACGCUGGCGGCGUGCCUAACACAUGCAAGUCGAGCGGGGGGAGUACUUCGGUACAAACCUAGCGGCGGACGGGUGAGUAACACGUGGGUAACCUGCCUCAAAGUGGGGGAUAGCCUUCCGAAAGGAAGAUUAAUACCGCAUAACCCAUAGCUUCCGCAUGGAAGCAAUGGUAAAGAUUUAUCGCCAUGAGAUGGACCCGCGGCGCAUUAGCUAGUUGGGGAGGUAACGGCUCACCAAGGCCACGAUGCGUAGCCGACCUGAGAGGGUGAUCGGACACAUUGGAACUGUGACACGGUCCAGACUCCUACGGGAGGCAGCAGUGGGGAAUAUUGCACAAUGGGCGAAAGCCUGAUGCAGCAACGCCGCGUGAGUGAUGAAGGCCUUCGGGUUGUAAAGCUCUGUCUUUUGGGACGAUAAUGACGGUACCAAAGGAGGAAGCCACGGCUAACUACGUGCCAGCCGCCGCAGUAACAC